UACGAAGGGGGGCUAGCGUUGCUCGGAAUGACUGGGCGUAAAGGGCGCGUAGGCGGACAUCUUUGUCGGGCGUGAAAUUCCAGGGCUUAACCUUGGGGCUGCGGUCGAUACGGGCGGGCUAGAGUUCGGUAGGGGAGACUGGAAUUCCUGGUGUAGCGGUGAAAUGCGCAGAUAUCAGGAGGAACACCGGUGGCGAAGGCGACUUCCUGGCCUGUUCUUGACGCUGGAGGCGCGAAAGCUAGGGGAGCAAACGGG
rnacentral:rRNA from 1 species